rnacentral:rRNA from 2 species
CAACCUUUAACAAUGGAUCUCUUGGCUCCUGCAACGAUGAAGAACGCAGCGAAAUGCGAUACGUAAUGUGAUACGCAAUUGCCCGUGAGUCAUCGAAUCUUUGAACGCAUAAUGCACUUUCUAGUUUACUAGGAAGUAUAUCUGUUUGAGUAUCAUUU